GAUGAACGCUGGCGGCGUGCCUAAUACAUGCAAGUCGAGCGAACGGACGAGAAGCUUGCUUCUCUGAUGUUAGCGGCGGACGGGUGAGUAACACGUGGAUAACCUACCUAUAAGACUGGGAUAACUUCGGGAAACCGGAGCUAAUACCGGAUAAUAUUUUGUACCGCAUGGUUCAAAAGUUAAAGACGGUCUUGCUGUCACUUAUAGAUGGAUCCGCGCUGCAUUAGCUAGUUGGUAAGGUAACGGCUUACCAAGGCAACGAUGCAUAGCCGACCUGAGAGGGUGAUCGGCCACACUGGAACUGAGACACGGUCCAGACUCCUACGGGAGGCAGCAGUAGGGAAUCUUCCGCAAUGGGCGAAAGCCUGACGGAGCAACGCCGCGUGAGUGAUGAAGGUCUUCGGAUCGUAAAACUCUGUUAUUAGGGAAGAACAUAUGUGUAAGUAACUGUGCACAUCUUGACGGUACCUAAUCAGAAAGCCACGGCUAACUACGUG
rnacentral:rRNA from 1 species